rnacentral:rRNA from 1 species
UACGUAGGGCGCAAGCGUUGUCCGGAAUUAUUGGGCGUAAAGAGCUCGUAGGCGGCUUGUCACGUCGGAUGUGAAAGCCCGGGGCUUAACCCCGGGUCUGCAUUCGAUACGGGCUAGCUAGAGUGUGGUAGGGGAGAUCGGAAUUCCUGGUGUAGCGGUGAAAUGCGCAGAUAUCAGGAGGAACACCGGUGGCGAAGGCGGAUCUCUGGGCCAUUACUGACGCUGAGGAGCGAAAGCGCGGGGAGCGAACAGG